UGGUCCCUACGGGACGCAGCAGUGAGGAAUAUUGGUCAAUGGGCGGGAGCCUAAACCAGCCAAGCCGCGUGAAGGAAGAAGGCGCCAGGCGUCGUAAACUUCUUUUGUCGGGGAACAAAGGGCGCCACGUGUGGCGUUGUGAGUGUACCCGAAGAAAAGGCAUCGGCUAACUCCGGGCCAGCAGCCGCGGUAAUACGGAGGAUGCGAGCGUUAUCCGGAUUUAUUGGGCUUAAAGGGUGCGUAGGCGGUCCGGCAAGUCAGCGGUAAAAGCCCGGGGCUCAACCCCGGCGAGCCGUUGAAACUGG
rnacentral:rRNA from 1 species